rnacentral:tRNA from 1 species
GUCUUUUUAAUAUAAAAAGUAUCUGUGACUUCCAAUCAUAAAGUUUAGAAAAUCUAAAAAAGACA